CUUGGUCAUUUAGAGGAAGUAAAAGUCGUAACAAGGUCUCCGUUGGUGAACCAGCGGAGGGAUCAUUACAGAGUUGCAAAACUCCCUAAACCAUUGUGAACGUUACCUAUACCGUUGCUUCGGCGGGCGGCCCCGGGGUUUACCCCCCCGGGCGCCCCUAGGCCCCACCGCGGGCGCCCGCCGGAGGUCACCAAACUCUUGAUAAUUUUAUGGCCUCUCUGAGUCUUCUGUACUGAAUAAGUCAAAACUUUCAACAACGGAUCUCUUGGUUCUGGCAUCGAUGAAGAACGCAGCGAAAUGCGAUAAGUAAUGUGAAUUGCAGAAUUCAGUGAAUCAUCGAAUCUUUGAACGCACAUUGCGCCCGCCAGCAUUCUGGCGGGCAUGCCUGUUCGAGCGUCAUUUCAACCAUCAAGCCCCCGGGCUUGUGUUGGGGACCUGCGGCUGCCGCAGGCCCUGAAAAGCAGUGGCGGGCUCGCUGUCGCACCGAGCGUAGUAGCAUACAUCUCGCUCUGGUCGCGCCGCGGGUUCCGGCCGUUAAACCACCCUUUAACCCAAGGUUGACCUCGGAUCAGGUAGGAAGACCCGCUGAACUUAAGCAUAUCAAUAAGCGGAGGA
rnacentral:rRNA from 1 species